rnacentral:ncRNA from 1 species
CACCACCCGUCACUCCUACCGAUUGAAUGGUUUGAUUAAGUGUUCAGAUUAUGGUGACGGGGUGAUUCGGUACCCGCAAGGUCACAAGAAGUCCAGUGAACCUUAUCAUUUAGAGAAAGGAGAAGUCAUAACAAGGUUUCCAUAGGUGAACCUGCGAAAG